rnacentral:SRP_RNA from 1 species
AUUAGUUGUUGCUGUACACUUUUAAUCCCAGCUAUUGGGUGGGUUGAGGCUGGUGAAUCUCUUGAGCUCUGGAGUUUGGAGCUGCAGUGUGCUAUGCUGGCCCCUCCUAAGUCUGCCAUCCAUAUAGUGAGCCUCUGGGAGUGAGAACUACCAGGUUGCCUAAGGAUGGGCAAACUGGACCAAUCAGAAACAGAGAAGGUCAGAGUUCCUGUGCCAAUCAGAGUGAGAUUGGGCCCAUGAGUAGUCCCUGCUCUCACAAUCUGGGUGAGAAAGGGAGACCCAGCCUUUU